rnacentral:misc_RNA from 1 species
UCCUACCAUAUUGCGCCUUGAAUUCAUUCUUCCGUUACUCGCCAUCUUGUCUUUGAUGUGCGCGGAUGUCUAGUACUUGAUCUAAAACUGAUUUUUCAUAUUGAAGUGCUGUUUUUAUUAUUUCUGGAGAUCAAGAAAAAUUCAAGAAAAUGAGUUACGGCAGACCACCGCCGCGUAUUGAUGGGAUGGUUUCCCUAAAAGUGGAUAAUCUUACGUAUAGAACGACGCCGGAGGAUUUGAGACGCGUGUUCGAAAGAUGUGGUGAGGUCGGCGACAUUUACAUCCCUAGAGAUCGUUUUACUCGAGAAAGCCGUGGAUUUGCAUUCGUCAGAUUUUAUGAUAAACGCGAUGCAGAAGAUGCAUUAGAUGCUAUGGAUGGAAGACUGUUAGAUGGUAGGGAACUUAGAGUUCAAAUGGCACGAUAUGGACGACCAACUUCACCACAUCGAAGUCGUGGUAGUCGUCGACGAGGAAGAUCACGUAGCAGGAGCAGAGAUCGAAGACGCUCACGUUCUAGAUCACGUAGUAGAUCAAGAAGUCGUGAUAGGGAUCGUAGGCGUUCAUAUAGUCGCAGUCGUAGCCGUUCGCGUUCUGACAGUAAAAGCUCGCGUGGAAAGUCUCGUUCUCGUAGCAAGUCUCCAGAUAGACAAAAAGAUAGUCGUUCCAAAUCAAGGGACUGAAGUUGAACCAUAUACAAGUACAACUACGAACAGAUGCACGCGCCGCAAGUGCAGAAUAAUCGUUUCUUGAGAACAAAAAAGGCGGUGGAAAGGAGUGGCGUGGCGAGUGUAGCUGAUGAUGGGGUAGCUGAGAGUAAGCAGUAAGCCGAGUAGCAGGGCUGUAAGCAGUUUGCAGUAGCGAGCGGUUGGUGGUCUGGUGAAAGCAGGUUCGCGCGAGUCGAUCAGGGCGAGAAAAAGAGAGAAAGUGUGUGAGCGAAAGCUGUCUCUCUCUGUGGGGGGUCGGCGUGCAGAAAUUGCAGAGGGUACGGUCUCGAGAAUGCAGACAAAUUUGCAGAGAGCACAACGAAAAGCCACACACAGUUGCUGGUCUUGACCACCGUCCGGUUUGCAGGUAGCACGUGAACAUCACCAGACCUCGCGAGCGACGACUCGACAUUUCAACUUUUAUGUCUACCAAUUGUUUCGCGUAUUUCGUAAAAGAAAUUUUUGGCAAUGUUGGUUUAUUCGAAACCAACUAUAUAUUAUUUUAUUCCCAGCUAUAUAGAUUUAAUUCGUAAGUUACGAAUUUGAAUCGUAAAUAUAAAUAUUUCACAAAUUAAUCAAUAUAAUCGCAAAGUGAUUUAAUUUGAUAGUUACAUUUUAUAAAUUUUUAAAAGUAGUUUUUUUUAAAAUAAUUUAAUAUAUGUAAUGAAUUUUUAAAACAAAUUUUAUUUUGAUUUUCACUUUUUUUUCUUUUUUUUAUUGGUAUUUUUUUCUAUACAACUUUUAAUUAAAAACUUGUCAAAUGCGUUUGUUUAAUAUAUUUACAAAAGAGUCUUGCAUCGCAUAUCGUUCUCGGUAAGAUCUAUAAAAUUAAUUUUUAUAUGAUCAUCGCUUGAAACACUUGCCGCCACAUUUCAAAUAAUUGAAAAAGGUGAGGGAGGGAAAUGGGAAAAUUCUUUUGCUUUUCCUGUGUUUUUUUUCAGGUUUUUCAGGCACUCGUCAUUAAAAUAGUAAGUAUUUUAGAGGUAAGACAAUGUCACAGUUAAUAAAAGAUUUUUUUUUUUAAGGAAAGAAUGGAAUCUUUGUAGAGAAAUGAAGAGUUCAAUCAAUAAAGAAUUCUUGUUGAAGAAAUAGAACUUUUUAUUUCUUAUUUAUAUAAAUAGAUGAUUAUAAACCCUCUAAAUAUUCAAAAAAAGUCUUACUUUAUAAAAUGAUAUAAAUCUAUAAUAUUUAAUAAUUCUAAAUUAUAAUAAUAAUAACAACAAGAAAUAUUUUACAGUUUUUUGACAUCAUUAAAUAAUCAUUGACUAGAUGUCAAAUUUUUAUCAUUUAUAUUAAAAAAAAUUCUAAAAAAAUAUCUUUUAGCACUAUGCUAAAAAUAUUUAGAUGGCUUUAUAUGAUAACUUAUAUGUAAAAUUACAUUAAAAAAAAAAUUUUUAACAUUAUGCUAAAAAUAUUUAAAUUUUUUAUGCGUAAAAUUAUAUGAAAUGUGUUAUAACACACAUUUCAUUUAAAUAGUCUUAUGUUUCUAAAUAUUAAAGACAUGCAAUUUUAUGAUGUAAAAAAAAUCACAGGCUACUUGUCCUUAUCCUUAUUUUCUGUACUUUUUUUCAAAAUAUAUGGCUUGCAAUAAAGAGCACCUAUGUAUAAUAAAAAUGCUAUGAUAUGUCCAGAAAAGUAUACUUGUUUACAAAACUGUAAAUUUUCUUUAAAAUCCAAUACUAAGAAUUGUGUUCCUAAA